CAAGCUAAUGAUGAGACCCAUAGAUACUCAAGGAUUAUGAUAAGGAGACCAUCAAUCUAGAGAAGCUCAAAUGAGAAUAUCUUUUUUUGCUAUUUUUAUUUUACAAUCACCACUAAUAUUUAGGGUCUUAUUGUAUUUUUUUUCCAAAAGAUUUUAAUAUUUUGACUAUUUAAAUAAUAUGCAUAUUAGCAAUGUUUAAAACUAGACA
rnacentral:lncRNA from 1 species